rnacentral:misc_RNA from 1 species
UUUGACAGUUGAUUCAAGAUGGCCGGUCACCAAGAUGUUUGCGUUGAUAGGACUGUGCGGCUUGGAAUUUGUAGGUGUGUCAGGUCUUGUAAAUAAAAUAAGCACUUUAUUCAACUAAAUGUAAUUGUUGCUAUGUUUCCGUGUAAUGUUUGGUGGUCCCGAACGUGUCCCUGAUAGUUUUUAAGUUAAUACACGGGCGAGUUCCAUCGGAGGGUUAGAAUUGAUUGCUUGUUGGUUGGUUGUAAUAAUUUGGAAGGGUGUACUUGUGUUUUUUGAAAACGUGAAAAUGUGGAAUAUGAUGUGCGACGUUAUGCCGACCAUUUCGGAGGACAGCAUUAGUCAAAGGAGCUCCCAAUUUUCUAGUGAAGACGCCAAUUUCGAACAGUUAAUGGUGUCUAUGUUAGACGAGCGAGACAAGUUGAUGGACAGUUUGCGGGAGACGCAGGCACGUCUUUCGGAUACUGAAAUCAAAUUAACAGAAGUCGAAAAAGAACGGGAUUCACUCCAUAGGCAGAUUGCAGCAAACCUUCCCCAGGAAUUCGCCACGUUAACGAAAGAACUAAACGCAGCACGGGAACAACUUCUUGAGAGGGAGGAAGAAAUAUCGGAACUAAAAGCUGAAAGGAAUAAUACUAGACUGUUAUUAGAACAUCUAGAAUGUCUGGUAUCACGACACGAACGUUCACUGAGGAUGACGGUGGUGAAGCGUCAAACGGCCGCUCAAUCAGGCGUUUCAUCCGAAGUAGAAGUUUUGAAAGCCUUAAAAAGCCUGUUUGAGCAUCACAAAGCAUUGGACGAAAAGGUGAGAGAAAGACUACGGGUUGCGUUAGAAAGAAAUUCUGUAUUAGAAGAAGAAUUAGCUAGUACCAAAGAAGAACUACAACAAUAUAAGUUAGGAGGCCCUCCGCCAAAUAUAACAGCAAUUGAAGAAAAACCCAAAGAAAAUGGACAAGCAGAUUCAGGGGACCAAGUAAAUAAUUCAAAUAAUAAGACGGCGACCGCCUUAAAGAAUGCUUUGAACAUCAGCACCGGGCCGCGAUUAACCAAUGGUAGUCUAGGAGUCUCCGAAAACAGCAGCGGCGUUGAAGGGAGUACCAGCUUAGAUUCUGUUGCCCGGAUUGCAGAUCUACAAGCCGCCUUGGAGCAACAGACGAACGAGAUAAGUACAUGGCAAAGGCGAGUGGCAGAGAUGACCAGUCGUGUAGGUGAGUUGGAGGAAACUUUGGCAAAGACACAGAAGGAACUCCUGAAAGCACAGGAAACAAACGCCAAGUUGCAGAGGGAUUUGCAGGAGAACGUGGCACAAAAGGAGGAUCAAGAAGAACGGAUCGCAACGCUAGAGAAGCGCUAUUUGAACGCCCAAAGGGAAUCGACGUCUCUGCAUGAUCUUAACGAAAAGCUCGAGCAAGAAUUGCAAAACAAAACUGCACAAUUGAAGUUACAAGAGGAAAAGAUCGCCGCUAUUCAAGAGAAGCUUGAAUUGGCAGAGCAAAAACUGUCGCAAUAUUCGAUGUUGCCUGAGAUGGAGGAACAGCUGAAGCAGAGAAUGGAAGCUCUGACACAGGUGAGACCGCAGGCUCAAGAACGGCACGGCUCGGCCGAAGACCGUAUUCAGCGGCUCGAGGCGAAUUUGGAUGAGAAAAACGCAGAAUUGGUUCGUCUUAAUCAGCGACUCAAGAUGAAUGAAGAACACAACAGUCGCCUCUCGGCCACCGUUGACAAACUCCUGUCCGAAUCGAACGACCGUCUCCAGGUGCAUCUGAAAGAACGUAUGCACGCGUUGGAGGAGAAAAAUAGUCUUACUCAGGAACUCGAAAAAACACGUAAAGUGAUGGAAGAGCUCGAAAUGCAAAAGACGGAAAUUAUGAAGGAACUAGCGAAAUCGAGACUAGAGAUCGAUAACGUAAAACGACAAAUGUUGCAACAAGAGAUCGCGUUCAACAUCCAACAGACAGAUGCGUUGACUCGGAGUCUGUCACCAAAUGCUACCCAACAGCAGCAGGACGUAGUUGGAGGUUCGAAUGCAACUAUCGCAAACAGUUUCACACGGAGUUCUAGUCAUACGAGUUUCGAAGCUCACUCGGCGUCGUUGCCACGACGAAGCACCGUUAAAAGUCGAACGCCCGUUGAUGACGAUCCUAAUAAGGUGAAUUUUGCAACCCGUUCGAUGACGGAGCAAGAAUGGGAGAAGCUUCAGCAAGCUCACGUGUUGGCCAAUGUACAGCAGGCUUUCGACGUCUCGAGCGAUGCUGAAGGAGACGAUAACGACAGUUUGUUCAGUACAGCUGACAUCUUAUCCCCUUCAGGUCACACAGACGCUCAGACGUUGGCGAUGAUGCUCCAGGAGCAGUUGGACGCAAUUAACAACGAGAUCCGUCUUAUUCAAGAGGAGAAGCAAAGUACUGAGGCACGAGCAGAAGAGUUGGAAUCUCGGGUCGGUAGUAUGGAACAUAUGAACCUAUUAGCACGGGGAAGGAGUUUAGAACGGCAAAGUCCACCCCUGAGCGGUCGAUCCACUCCUAAAUCUCACCAUUCACCUCAGAGAGACUACCUCCAUAAAUACCACACGGCACCAGCUUCAAUGUCUCCAGCUCAUUUACAGCAGUACCACUCCACCCUGAGCCCCGGUGCUCUUUCAGAAUCGCUCCCGACCAGUCAGCUUCAGCUUGCUCAGAUGAGUUCGGAAAUGUCAAGGGAGGAGCUUCAUAUGGCGGAAAACAGCAGUGGAGGGGCUUCGCCCCUCACCGCCCGAUCGUUAAGAUUGGAGAGGGUUGCUCAGGCUCUCGCGCAUAGUCAAGAGGAGCUGCGAAGGCAAGGCCAGAUGCACACUCCCCCAUCACCUAUGUCGUCUCGUCAUAGCAGUCAAGACAGUCUGCACAAAAACUCGGCAAUGGGCAUGAUGGGAGGCGGACCGGGACCAGGAAAAAUGGGAACAAUACCAGCCGGUCCAAUGUCCACGUCGUCUACGUCCAUGAUGCCCGGGAUGAUGGUUAUGACGCGAGAUAUGUCUCCUGCCGUAGCUGCCGCCGCCGCAGCUGCAGCUGCAGCUCAAAAGAAGAAGGGUAUCAAGUCGUCUUUGGGCAGAUUUUUCAGCAAAAAGGAGAAGGCGAAAGGAAAGGAGGCGAUUGGAGAUCCGCAUUUAAAUUUGAGUCAAACUAGCAUUGGAUUACCAGACGGGGAUAUUAACGAAUCGGGCUCCAUUGUAGCGAACAAACUGGGACAGAAGGGCGAAUUCGAUCGAAGGCAGAAGAAAAAAGAACGGGACUACAGACAUGAAUUAUUAGCAGAAGCGAUGAAAGCAGGGACGCCUUUUGCCCUCUGGAACGGUCCCACAAUAGUGGCGUGGUUGGAACUGUGGGUUGGAAUGCCUGCGUGGUAUGUGGCCGCAUGUAGGGCUAACGUUAAGUCAGGGGCUAUCAUGAGCGCACUCAGCGAUACGGAGAUACAACGAGAGAUCGGUAUCAGUAAUCCACUACAUCGAUUGAAGCUCAGACUCGCCAUACAAGAGAUGGUGUCCCUCACUUCCCCUUCAGCGCCCAAAACGUCACGAACGACACUUGCGUUUGGUGAUAUGAAUCAUGAAUGGAUCGGGAACGCAUGGUUGCCCUCCCUAGGGCUUCCUCAAUAUCGAACGACAUUCAUGGAGUGUCUGGUGGACGCACGGAUGCUUGAUCACUUGACUAAAAAAGAUCUUCGUGGGCAGCUCAAAAUGGUCGACAGUUUUCACAGAACAAGUUUACAAUACGGCAUAUCUUGUCUGAAACGGCUCAAUUACGAUCGAAACGUUUUGGAAAACAGACGAAAAAAUUGCGAAGACUCCAAUAUCGACGCUCUCGUUUGGAGUAACGAUAGGGUGAUCAAGUGGGUUUCCAGUAUAGGACUCAAAGAAUACGCCAACAAUUUGUUGGAAUCGGGAGUUCAUGGAGCCCUGCUGGCCCUGGACGAAAGCUUUGAUGCUAGCAGCAUGGCUUUGGCUCUUCAAAUUCCUACUCAAAACACACAGGCCAGGCAAUCUUUAGAAGUAGAGUUCAACAAUCUGUUACGUACUGCGACCGAUCGUCGUCCUGACGAUAUGUCGACACGCUCCUGAUACGAGGGAUCCGUCUCCGUGACGGCCAGAUAAUCAUCUAUGUCGUUUUGCACCCAUCAUGUCAUAAAACUAGAAGAAAAACGAUGCAGCAAAAAACCAGCAGCAGCCAUUAACGGAACGUCCCUGUCCCUCCGGAUUGCUGUGUCGCCUCAUCAUAUCAUCCACCCCCAUCUUCCUUUCACGAUGUGUAUCGUCAUGUACGUGUGUUGUGUCGUCGACCCGUCUCUUGUCUGUACAUACGUAGUUCGAAAGGAAAUUUUGAAAAAAAUACGCGGAAAAAGUGGCGAAGGCGACGACAAAAAAGGAACAAAAAGCUUUAAUCAAUCGUAUAUCAUAUUACGUAGGAGUUUGUAUGCAUAAAGAUUACAUAUAUACAUAUAAUAUAUAAAAAAAGGCGAAAGCAAGAGCGAAAGAACGAGAGAGAGAGAGAGUGAAAGAAAAAAGAAUAAACGGAAACGAAACAAAAAACGGUAAAUUAAUUUUUUCAACUGUUUCAUUUUUCGUGCUGAUUUUUAAAAUGCCACUAUUUACGUGUAUCUGUAAUGAUUUUUUAUAUACUAUUCUUAUUAUUGUGGAUAUGUAGAGAGAAAAUUGGAAAGAAAGCAAGUGAAAAAGAGCACUACCUAAUUGUGUAUAAGAUGAUAUAGUUAAUUGAAGAGAAAAAUAGGAACGCAUGUACGCUUCCGGUGUUGUCGUGGAUCUUCGGAGUUGUUUGGGGCGUAGCCUGUGAAGAUAUUCUUUCAAAUGUGGAAUAGGAAAUAUGUUCUGGCAGUGUUGGGUGAGUUUUUUAUAUUAUCAAUUAAUGCGCACAAGUUUGAUUAUCUUUUGCGAAUGAUGAUGCAACUCAAUUGAAUUGAAGUAUUAACUAUUAAUUGCGCGGUCUUAUUAACGAAUAUUAACUUACUUUAUUUUUCUUUACACAUAUCAUUUAUGAUUUUGUACGCGAUGUAUGUUUAGUGUGAAUGUAUUGGCAGCGUAAGUCAGUAUUAUCGCCUUCCUCCCAUUAAUAUUAUAUUCCCUUCUUCUAUCUCACCCUAUUAUUCGAUCGCAAAGCUGUAAACAUUUGUGUGUGCCUAUUGUUAACGGUGCUGCCACUUGUUGAACGUGCUUUGUUUUAUUUUUAUUAAGGGUGCGAUAUCCAAGUGAUGUAAAUUAUACGUUUCUUACGUUGAUUUAUCAUUAAUAAUUUUGAGUUUUUCUCGUGAAAAGAGAAGGCGCUUCUAAUGCAAAAUUAACGAAAGAAAAUGUGUUCUGGCCGAUAUUAAGACUUUAGAAAAAAUUAAAAUAAUGAUAAUAAACGAGAGGAAUUCAUCUCUUUCGGUUAAUGUUUUGGCGUCUGGGAAACUUCUGGACGUCCUUGCGAAUUUUAUUUUGUAAACUAACAAUAAGGCAGUAACAUACAUUCCCAUUAUCUCAAAUAAAAUACAUAACUUAUAAAGAUGUGACUUACGCUUUGCACAGUUCCAACUGAAGUUACCGUUUAUAUUCUAGUUUCGUAAGUUUGUUGUUAUUUUUUUUAUACAAACAUUAUAGUAGCUUAUAUAAUU